GAUGAACGCUGGCGGCGUGCCUAAUACAUGCAAGUCGAGCGAACAGAUAAGGAGCUUGCUCCUUUGACGUUAGCGGCGGACGGGUGAGUAACACGUGGGUAACCUACCUAUAAGACUGGAAUAACUCCGGGAAACCGGGGCUAAUGCCGGAUAACAUUUAGAACCGCAUGGUUCUAAAGUGAAAGAUGGUUUUGCUAUCACUUAUAGAUGGACCCGCGCCGUAUUAGCUAGUUGGUAAGGUAACGGCUUACCAAGGCAACGAUACGUAGCCGACCUGAGAGGUUGAUCGGCCAAGAGGGAACUGAGGCACGGGCCAGACUCCAACGGGAGGAAGCAGUAGGAAAUCGGCCGCAAAGGGCGAAAGCCUGACGGAGCAACGGCGCGGGAGUGAUGAAGGUCGUCGGAUCGUAAAACUCUGUUAUUAGGGAAGAACAAAUGUGUAAGUAACUCUGCACGUCUUGACUGUACCUAAUCAGAAAGCCACGGCUAACUACGU
rnacentral:rRNA from 1 species